AGACUCCGCAAUUGCAUGUAUAGAUGCCAUUCGCGGAGCAUCAUCAGCCAGAGAAAAUGAAGCUUUCUUGGGAGAGGUGAGCGUCAUAUUCCUCGAGUACUAGUAUUUAUGAGCGUAAGUUAUAGGUAUAGCAGGACGUUGGUGUUGUCGUCUGUUGCCAGUCGUUUGGCUCGUCAUUCGCCGGAAUCGCGUCUUUCUCACCUCAUGAUUUUCUGCACUGUCUGGACGGUUUAUGGACACUCGCCAAGUCCGGCGAUCGUAAAAUAUAAAAAGCUGAGGUGAACCGUUUAGAAAAUGGUUCAACCAGUUAACACCAUCAGCUACGCCAUCUCAUAACUUUUCCUAAGCUGUUACAUAUACCUGACUCUGAAACCUUCACUCACUCUGCAGACUUGGGGUUGUAGGUGACUGGGCCAUAGCGUAGAAAAUUUUCGAGGAACGGGGUUUCAUUGGACUUGGGGAAAACGUGAAAUAAUUUAUUUUUCUAGAUUUUAUGUUCUAGGUUAACGAAUUCUGACCUAAUUGUAAGAGAGUUAAGCAAUGUUGAUUAAACAUCGUAUACAGGCGAUUUCUGAUAAACCUAAUGCAAUCACAGUUGACGUUGAUAUGUAAUCGCAAAGCCGAGGCUAACAAUUUGACCGGCUGAAUUGAACGUAGAUGUUAAAAGCUUUUGAUCUGCUGGUCACCUGACGCAAUGCAAUUGGACCAGUAAUCGGACUGGUAACAGCGAUACAAGGAAAACACUCUGACUCACCAAUCGGUUACGAUUGAGUACAGUCAGAGGCUUCCAGCAACGAUAGCCGCGUCAUUUCGAAAUCUAUUAUAGGUAGGUAGGUAGAUUCCAUCUGCUCUUGGCGCACGGUCAAGCUAAACGGAGUUCCCCCUCUCCUUCGUAUUCCCCCCCCCCCCCCCCCACAUGGAGCUCCGUUUUAGAAUAACUCGGAGUCUGAUUGUUCUCUGCAUUCUCAUUUACAGCAUCCCUGUAGACCAGUCAGUCCGAGUUAUACUUUCAUCCGCACGUAUUAGCUUGCCGAGAGAAGAACCGUGCGCGCUAAAUCAUUCGCGUCGAGUAAUUAGAGCCAGUCAGCUUGAUACGUAAAGAAAAAUCAUCAUGGAAGUCGCCAAAGUCGACGACAACGCAUCCAGCCUUGUCCAGCAAUCAUCGAAAGUGUCAACCGCAACGGUACAGUCCCAGUCGGUGAAGACCUCGAAGUCAGUGCAGAGCAUUCAAUCAUCAUCGGUGGUCCAGUCCUCGUCAACGGUGAAAUCGGUGACCUCGUCGAACGUGAGGUCUCAAAGAUCCGUGGAAGUCGAGGAGUCAAUCGAGAUUGAAGAGUCUUAAGUCGUGAUCGCCGCGUCGAGGAUGUAGCCGCGCCGUCGCCAUCUACUCGCUAUUACACUACGAUGCUGGUCAACGCUUGAGUCCCGAAAUAACAGCCCGCAAAGCUACGUGCCAGGCUCUGAUCUUCCAAAAGUAUUGGGAUUCCGAGUCAUUUCACUUUUGGCUGAGCUGACAAUAUGUGCUCGGCUAUAGAAGCCUGGCCGAUCAUUGUAAGCCGAGCCGAAGCCAGCUUCCUUCCUUCCUUCCUUUCUUCCUUCCUCCCUCCAAUUUUUUUUUUUUUUUUUUUUACACUUCCGUUUCCAAUCCUCCUCCCUGUGACAGUACUCUUCUCUUGAUGCGCAACGAAAGAAAAAAAACUUUCUAUUACCGGGAAAAUCUGUGGUCUCUGACUACUAUGUCAAGGUAUUAUUCACCCUGAGGUUCAAUUGUAUUACAUAAUUUGUUAUUGUGAUUGAUUUAAUAAAUCUCCUUCAAGUA